CCCAGGACUAUUUGGGAAACAUUUUGGGGAAAAAAAAAUUGCCAGUGAAAAGGGGAUCACAUAUUGACUUAAAAAGAGAGUUAUGUACUGUGAAGUGUUUCCCAAUACAGUUUUACCUUGUAAAUAAAUAUAUGGAGAAGACACCCAAAACCUCGGAAGAGUUAACCCUCUUGCAAGCAGGAAUGGAUCGCAGAACCAUCAGCAUCACAGAAGAUGCUGACCAUUCAUGGUUGUCCAAGAAACUUGAAAGGAGCAUGGAUGUUGUACAAGGCUGUUGGUGGUUCUGGACAAAGAAAUGUGUGCCCCCUGAGUAAGAAGGGUACACAGGUGCUUACCUCAACUCAAUUUCUCGUGGAAAGUCAACCUUGUACAUUGUACCAGUGCAAGGAACACUCGAUACUUCCCCUCUUCCCUACUCAGCCAAGGAGUUUGCCAAAAUGCCAAAAGCCACAUGUCAAACAUGUGGAGAUAACAUGCCAGUGCAGUUAUUAGCAGCACAUGUGGCAUCUUGUGAAACCA